GGCUGGUCCAAGUGCAGUGGUAUUUACAAUUAAUUGAUCACAGCCAGUUACAGAUUUCUUUGUUCCUUCUCCACUUCCACUGCCUCACUUGACUAGCCUUUA
ensembl:Y_RNA Y_RNA Y RNA